UCUAAAUCACUCACUUGAUGAAAUGCUCAACUACGCUAAAUAGUUAAGCACUUCAUCAAGUGAGUGAUUUAGAAAAAAGCUAAGUAGUUGAGCAUUUCAUCAAGUGAGUGAUUUA
rnacentral:pre_miRNA from 1 species